GGCGGAGGGAGCUUUACUGCAGUCGAACGGAGCCGGGGCACCUGGUGGCGAGUGGCGAACGGGUGAGUAACAUAUCGGAGCAUGUCCGGAAGUGGGGGAUAACGUAGCGAAAGUUACGCUAAUACCGCAUAUGCCCUGAGGGGGAAAGGGGGGGAUCGCAAGACCUCUCGCUUUCGGAGUGGCCGAUAUCGGAUUACCUAGUUGGUGAGGUAAAGGCUCACCAAGGCGACGAUCCGUAGCUGGUCUGAGAGGACGACCAGCCACACUGGAACUGAGACACGGUCCAGACUCCUACGGGAGGCAGCAGUGGGGAAUUUUGGACAAUGGGCGCAAGCCUGAUCCAGCCAUACCGCGUGAGUGAAGAAGGCCUUCGGGUUGUAAAGCUCUUUCAGCCGGAAAGAAAUUGCUUCUAUUAAUACUAGGAGUAGAUGACGGUACCGGAAGAAGAAGCACCGGCUAACUACGUGCCAGCAGCCGCGGUAAUACGUAGGGUGCGAGCGUUAAUCGGAAUUACUGGGCGUAAAGCGUGCGCACGCGGUUUGGUAAGACAGACGUGAAAUCCCCGGGCUUAACCUGGGAACUGCGUUUGUGACUGUCAGACUAGAGUGUAGCAGAGGGGGGUAGAAUUCCACGUGUAGCAGUGAAAUGCGUAGAUAUGUGGAGGAAUACCGAUGGCGAAGGCAGCCCCCUGGGCUAACACUGACGCUCAUGCACGAAAGCGUGGGGAGCAAACAGGAUUAGAUACCCUGGUAGUCCACGCCCUAAACGAUGUCAACUAGGUGUUGGGGAAGGAGACUUCUUUAGUACCGCAGCUAACGCGUGAAGUUGACCGCCUGGGGAGUACGGUCGCAAA
rnacentral:rRNA from 1 species